AAAGGCCCAGGGUUGAACAGGAAUGGAGAGUGAACUACUUUACCUUCUCUUUUGUAGGAGUUGUCCUCCAAGUCAAGGUUGAAGUACUUUAGUUAGGGCAGUGUGGGGAAGUAUGCACUACUGCUGAAUCAGCUGCUCAUAUGCAUCAUUCUCUUCCCAGCUGUGUGCUUCAA
ensembl:misc_RNA